rnacentral:rRNA from 1 species
UGGGGAAUAUUGCACAAUGGGCGCAAGCCUGAUGCAGCCAUGCCGCGUGUAUGAAGAAGGCCUUCGGGUUGUAAAGUACUUUCAGCGGGGAGGAAGGGAGUAAAGUUAAUACCUUUGCUCAUUGACGUUACCCGCAGAAGAAGCACCGGCUAACUCCGUGCCAGCAGCCGCGGUAAUACGGAGGGUGCAAGCGUUAAUCGGAAUUACUGGGCGUAAAGCGCACGCAGGCGGUUUGUUAAGUCAGAUGUGAAAUCCUCGGGCUCAACCUGGGAACUGCAUUCGAAACUGGCAGGCUAGAGUCUUGUAGAGGGGGGUAGAAUUCCAGGUGUAGCGGUGAAAUGCGUAGAGAUCUGGAGGAAUACCGGUGGCGAAGGCGGCCCCCUGGACAAAGACUGACGCUCAGGUGCGAAAGCGUGGGGAGCAAACAGG